GGAAAUAAAAGUCGUAACAAGGUCUCCGUUGGUGAACCAGCGGAGGGAUCAUUACAGAGCUGCAAAACUCCCAAACCAUUGUGAACGUUACCUAUCCCGUUGCUUCGGCGGGCGGCCCGGGCCCCGCGCCCGGCGCCCCCCGGCCCCCCGUGGGCGCCCGCCGGAGGUAAACCAAACCCUUGAAUUGCAUGGCCUCUCUGAGUCUUCUGUACUGAAUAAGUCAAAACUUUCAACAACGGAUCUCUUGGUUCUG
rnacentral:misc_RNA from 1 species